CGGGUGGUAAUGCCGGAUGCUCCAGUUGAUCGCAUGGUCUUCUGGGAAAGCUUUCGCGGUAUGGGAUGGGGUCGCGUCCUAUCAGCUUGACGGCGGGGUAACGGCCCACCGUGGCUUCGACGGGUAGCCGGCCUGAGAGGGCGACCGGCCACAUUGGGACUGAGAUACGGCCCAGACUCCUACGGGAGGCAGCAGUGGGGAAUAUUGCACAAUGGGCGCAAGCCUGAUGCAGCGACGCCGCGUGAGGGAUGGAGGCCUUCGGGUUGUAAACCUCUUUUAUCGGGGAGCAAGCGAGAGUGAGUUUACCCGUUGAAUAAGCACCGGCUAACUACGUGCCAGCAGCCGCGGUAAUACGUAGGGUGCAAGCGUUAUCCGGAAUUAUUGGGCGUAAAGGGCUCGUAGGCGGUUCGUCGCGUCCGGUGUGAAAGUCCAUCGCUUAACGGUGGAUCCGCGCCGGGUACGGGCGGGCUUGAGUGCGGUAGGGGAGACUGGAAUUCCCGGUGUAACGGUGGAAUGUGUAGAUAUCGGAAAGAAACACCA
rnacentral:rRNA from 1 species